CCUACGGGAGGCAGCCGUGGGGAAUAUUGCGCAAUGGGCGAAAGCCUGACGCAGCGACGCCGCGUGAGGGAUGAAGGUCUUCGGAUCGUAAACCUCUGUCAGCAGGGAAGAACGGUCACUGUGCUAAUCAGCAGUGAAUUGACGGUACCUGCAAAGGUAGCACCGGCUAACUCCGUGCCAGCAGCCGCGGUAAUACGGAGGGUGCGAGCGUUAAUCGGAAUUACUGGGCGUAAAGCGCUCGUAGGCGGUAUGGCAAGUCAAGGGUGAAAUCCCCGCGCUUAACGUGGGAACUGCCUUUGAAACUGGCAGACUGGAGUGAGUGAGAGGAUAGUGGAAGUCCAGGUGUAGGAGUGAAAUCCGUAGAUAUCGAGAGGAACAUCAGUGGCGAAGGCGACUAUCUGGAACAUAACUGACGCUGAGGAGCGAAAGCGUGGGUAGCAAACAGGAUUAGAUACCCCAGUAGUC
rnacentral:rRNA from 1 species